GUCCAGUUCCAUUACCUUCACUCCAAACCUCUUCACUCCUCUCCAAUUCAACAUCCUUCGGCACCGUCACCACCAGCUCUCCGUCACUAAACUCCGCCGUAGCAAGCUCCGGCACCGUCUCCUCCGGCAAUCUAAACCGCCACAAAUCCAGCUUCAUCUCACUAACCUCACCACCACCACCACCACCACCGCCGCCGCCGCCACCGCCACGUGUCGUUCUCACAACAACUUUCGUGACACCAGGACAGAUCUCAAUCGUAUGAGCAGCAAUAUCCGUUCCGAUAUCAUCCUCCGUAUCAACAACAAAUCUAAACGAAUCUGACGUUUCCUGAACCGUGACGUCAGCGUCGGAGUAAAACGGAAGCUCGAGGACUUUACCGAAGAUGUGCGGCAGUCGCCGGAGCUUCUUUUGGCGGCAGAUUGAGCCGGUGGCAGUGGAUUGAGCGGCGAAAUCGUACCGGACGGUGAUGUUACGCUUGUGUGGAGCUGGAUGAACCUUCAUAGUUGUUUGAAAUGGAGAAAUUGUAAACCCUAGGUAACUGAUUGAGUGAUUUGAAACAGAUCUUGAUACAGAUCGGAAGGAUGAUGAUAAGGAUUUGUGAAAGUGAGAGUGGAGGAAAAGGUUGAAAUGAAGUUCCAUGAAAGUUACAGGUAAGAUUGGAGAAGGUAACAACACGGUAAUAGUGGUUAUGUAAUUCUUUAUUAUUCUUUUUACAUUCUAAAUACGCGUUAAAUAUGUAUUUUGAAAGGAUAAUGAUUUUUUCAUGAGUAUAUAUAUCUAUAGGGUGAAUCUACUAAAAAUGGGUUUUUAGGGGGGACGGAGUGGAUGCGGGGAGUGGGGUUGCCGCACGAGGAUUGAUACCGGGUAGUGGAUCGGUGAGUGGGGAGUAGGAGAGAAGAGGUGUAAUCGGUGAGUAUUCACCGAAGGUGAAGAAGAAGAAAUAGAGGAGAGAGAGGAGAAAGGAGAUAGAGAACCAAUCAAUUUUUUUUUUUAAUUGAGUGAGUGUUUAAAUCAUUCGGCUAGGGAUGACAAAAAAGCCAAGCCUGACAGGUAUACCCGAAACCCGAAACAUACGGGCCGGGUAUACCCGAAGCCCAAUGGGUAUGGGCCGGGUACGGGCUUAAAAAUAUAAAAAAAUUCGGGUAUGGGUGCGGGUAUGGGAUUUAGUGAUACCCGCUCGAUAACAUGCCCAUUUACCCGAAUAACACCCGAAAGUAUCAUAUUAUAGAUUUUUAUACAUAUAAACUUAGUACAUGUAUUUAUUACUUUCUCUAUAGUCAUAUGUGGAUAUGUAUUUGGCGAAGUGUUUAGUGAAGAUAUAACUUAUUUUUGAGCAUGUAUAUUAGAUAUGAAAGAUAUCACCCUUUAUUAUGCGGAUAUUUUAUACAAUUAGGUGGUCCUGAUACAAUUAGUUAAUUAAGUAAUCGUUUUAAUUUAGUUUAGUAUAUGUGGUCUGAAUAUGAUAUGUAAGUUAUUAAGCAUAUUUUCAUUUGUUAUAGUUAUUAAAAUAGUAAAUUAUAUAAACAUCAAAGUAAAAAUUGCACAUUUGUCCCAACGGGUAUUUUUAAGAAAUUAACAGGUAUACCCGAUACCCGACGGGUAAUUACCCGAAAAAUAUCCGACGGGUAACGGGCCGGGUAUGGGACAAAGAGUUAUAACCUGGUACGGGCCUGAGAUUAUCAAUACCCCGCCCAAGACCGGCCCAUUGCCAUUCCCUAAUCAUUCCUAGUGUUUGAGUAGAAAAUGGGGAGUGAAGAGGGGGGGUUGACAUGACAUGAGAUUAUUGGAUAGAGAAAACUCAAACACCCUAAAGUGUUUGAAUCAUACCCUCCACCCUUAUAGGUAACCUAUUUUUUUUAAAUGAUAUGUGACACUUCUUUUAAAUAGGAUAAAAGAGUAUUUUAUACUAAAAAUAGACUGACCUUUUUAUUUUCUCAAAGUACAAAAUUAAA
rnacentral:lncRNA from 1 species